rnacentral:misc_RNA from 1 species
CUCAAAGCGAAAAAAAGGCACAUUAUUUGCCAUAUUUCGUCAUCACCGCUACUAAACAUAUUAGACUAUAUGCUACCCGCCAAAAUCCACUUGUCCUCUACUGUAUCCGCUCCAGAUCCCCUUCUUUCAAGAGCUUCCCUUCACUCAUUUUAUAUACAAGUAAUCAUUUGUUGUCUUUGAACAGCUGCUCUGCAUUCUGUUCAACAGAAAAAGAGAGAGCCACAGAGAGAGAUGGGCCUGCAAUUGCUGAGAGUGUGGCUGUUGCUAUUUUUGUUUGGACUAGUUGCUAUUGUUGGGGGCGGAGGAGCGAAUGUGGGUGACUUCAAUAUAUGGCCAAUGCCCAAAUCGGUCACUAAUGGGCACAGAAAACUGUACAUGGCUCUGGAUUUUCAGCUCAUCACUGAGGGUACCAACUACAGCGAUGCUUCUGGGAUUUUGAAGGAAGCCUUCACCACAAUGGUUGAUGUAGUCCAAAUGGACUAUGCUCUUGAUGCCAAUUUCUCCGCUCUCCAUCCAUCUGUCGUCCUCAAAGGACUUCAAGUCCUUAUUUCCUCUCCAAAUGAUCAGUUACAAUAUGGUAUUGAUGAGUCCUACAAAUUAUUAGUUCCUUCACCUUACAAGCCAGAUUUUGCACAUCUUGAGGCACAAACAGUUUAUGGGGCUUUGCAUGGGCUUCAGACAUUCAGCCAAUUAUGCCAUUUUAACUCUGCAACCAACAGGAUUGAAGUUCUUAUGGUCCCAUGGACUAUCAUUGAUCAACCAAGAUUCUCUUACCGGGGGCUCUUGAUUGAUACUUCACGACACUAUCAGCCAUUGCCAAUGAUUAAGAAAGUGAUUGAUUCUAUGGUCUAUGCAAAACUGAAUGUUUUGCAUUGGCACAUUGUGGAUACACAAUCUUUCCCUCUGGAGAUACCUUCGUAUCCAAAACUGUGGGAUGGUGCUUAUUCAUUUUCAGAGCGGUACACUUUUGCUGAGGCUGCUGAAAUUGUAAGUUAUGCCCAGAGGCGAGGAAUCAAUGUAUUGGCUGAAAUUGAUGUUCCUGGACAUGCACUCUCAUGGGGGAGGGGCUAUCCUUCUUUAUGGCCAUCAAAAAAUUGUCAACAGCCUCUUGAUGUGAGCAGUGAGUUUACAUUUAAAGUAAUAGAUGGAAUUCUUUCAGAUUUCAGUAAGAUCUUUAAAUUCAAAUUUGUUCACUUGGGAGGUGACGAAGUUGACACAAGUUGUUGGAUGUCAACUCCUCAUAUAAUGAACUGGUUAAGAAAGCAUGGUAUGAAUGAAUCUGAAGCUUAUCAGUACUUUGUCCUGCGAGCACAGAAAAUUGCUUUGUCCCGUGGAUAUGAAAUUGUUAACUGGGAAGAAACCUUCAACAAUUUUGGCAGUAAAUUGAGCCGAAAAACUGUGGUGCACAACUGGCUUGGUGGUGGUGUUGCUGAGAAAGUGGUUGCUGCUGGAUUGAGGUGCAUCGUGAGCAACCAGGACAAAUGGUAUUUAGAUCACUUGGAUACUACUUGGCAACAAUUUUAUAUGAAUGAACCACUCACAAACAUCACAAACACUGAGCAACAAAAGUUAGUUAUCGGUGGUGAGGUAUGCAUGUGGGGAGAAAGAGUAGAUGGAUCAGAUAUUGAGCAAACUAUAUGGCCACGUGCUGCAGCAGCUGCAGAGCGGCUAUGGACAACUUACAACAAGCUUGCUAGGGACCCAAAGCAAGUUACUAGAAGAUUAGCACACUUCAGGUGUCUGUUGAAUCAAAGAGGAGUAGCAGCAGCUCCAUUAGCUGGACCUGGCCGAGGAGCCCCUCAAGAGCCAGGUUCUUGCUACUCACAGUAGCAAAUAUAUAUGCAGGCACAUAUCUGAUUCUUAUGGGUGAAAUACUUUCUGUUCGCAAUGAACCAAUGACAUCAUAAUAAUGCAUCAUAAUAAAGGUCAGAUUGCUUCUGUUUCCAUCUCACAAAUCUUGAAAACUGUGUGAAAGCACUUCAAAAACAAUAGGUUGAAUUAAUAACAUGUAGGAAAACCAAUUAAGUCUGUGUAUAAUAGUGUGUAUGUAAAACAGUAUGUUUCAGAGAGUCCCAUAUGAAUGAAGCAUUUCAUAUGUUCUAUUGUUCUUCAAUGUGUAUAAUUAAUAGCUCUAGAACAAAACUGACAAGGAUUAAGGGUAUGUAACGAAGCUCUAUCCAUGGGGAUGAAUUGGAUGAUCAGAAGUUCAAGGCUUCCAAGGUGGAGGAGGGGGUGGGCUUUGGGGGUAGAGUGGUGGAACUGCUGAGAAGAUUGCAUUCUUAUCAAUGCCAAUGCCACCGCUGCUAGUCAGGGAGACAAGUGCAGCAACUAGCCCUGCAUUUCCAGCUAGGGUUGGUUCGGUGUAGUUAAAAUUGGUUCGCACAUCAUGGAAGUUGUCAAACCUAUCAGGCCCUCCAACCAUGGCUCCUGUAAUGGUAUUAGGAUUGGGAUUGCGGCUGUCACGCCACUUCCAUCCACCUGUGCACGAGUACCUCUUGUUGUCAUGGGGUAUUGAUGCUCCACGGUGAUGCACAUUUCUGGGAAACUUAGUGCCAUAUCCCACAAUGUAGCUCAUAUUCAUGGGAUUUUUACCGAGAAUGUAGUCUAUCUGGGAGGUGGCAAAACUCCGAAGAUCGUUCAAUGAAACAAACGUGGGACCGCAGUUGAAUCCCGGAACACCAGUGGCAUUCAAAUAAUCAACAAAUAGUGAUGCCAAGAAAGCAGCAUUAGCGACAAACUGAAGAGGCUGUGGCUUUCCAUGGUUCAGUUGGAUCAUUCCCCCUUUAGUCCAGUUGAAUACAUGGAACUGCUGAAGAUAAGAACACAUAGUAAGAUCUGUCACAUUGUGAUACAUCUGCAACAUGUCCUCGUAAGGGUAUCCUGGACUCAAGAAUAUCCUGUACCUGGUUAACAACAGCAUGGCUGCAGGUAACUUGUUAUCCCAACUUAGCACACUCAAAUCUGGAAUCAUGUAAAAUGCCUUGGAAUUCUUAGGGAUGCCUGGGUUGGUUGCCAAUGAAAUGUAGCUGACAUUUCCAGUGGCAUAGUACAACCACGUAGCACCCCACAUGUACUCAUCAAAAUAGCCAGUGGAGUUGUAGAAGGGUUCGAUAUAAGGUUGUCCUUGAGAAUAUGUUCUGCGUCUUCCAGGUUCCCUGGCAAAGGCAAAGACAGUUGCUGCAGCUUUUACAAGCCUUUUAGAGUAUGCAUCAUUGUCUCGGAACACUAUUGAGGCUGCCGCUAAAGCUGCCGCCAUUUCCCCUGCAAGAUCGGGGCCUGCAGUUACGAAUAUGGAAGGUCGCCUAUAAUCCAUGUCUUCUGGUCUUUCCCAGCAGUAAUGAUCAUCUGGAGUUGUAGAACCAUUUAGAGAUCCACCCACCUGACAGUAAAUUUUGUCAAUUCGUGUGGCACUGGAGUUGAAUGUUAAGAGCAAAUAAUCAGUACCCCACUUGAUGAGAUCUCGCAUAUGGCUAUACUCGCCAAUGGCCUCAUAUUUGUGAUUGUAUUCAAUGAGACUCCAGCUCAACAUCGUCAUGGUAAAUGCCAUGGGAAAAUGGAACUUGACAUUAUCUCCAGCAUCAUAGUAUCCUCCGACAAGCCCUCCCUUAAAAUCUGUAUCAUUGCCAUCCUGUAGCCCUGAAUCCCCUCUCCAGGGUAUGCCAUUAUUCUUGGGCAAUUUACCAGAUUUCUGGGCAUUGAAAAAUAGGAGGGCCUUGUGGAGGGCAAUAGUGUAAUUGUCAGGAGGAGGAGGAUGAGACUUGUGCUUGGGCAAAGUCUUGGCGAUGAUGGUGGGAAGUGCAAUGACCACAAAGGCAAUGAGAAGGGAAUAUAGAGUCCACUUGAAAGCCUUGGUGCUGCAAACUAUACAACCCAAGUCCACAUACUUUUUCUUCUUGGUCUCUUGUGGGUAGAGUAACCAGCUCUGUUGUGUCUCGUCCAGAUUAUGGUAGUGCUGUUGAGAAUGAAGGGCUCCCCUGUCCCAUUCCAUGUUCCGGCUCCUCUCAUCCUCUGUUGUCGAUUCUGCACCAUUGAUUAUCUCAAAAGAUCCUCCCCAGUUAUUCCCUGAAUGCAUUUUUCCCCCUUUAUUUCCUCUCCUUUCAACGGAGAAGAGAGGUUUAAUGAUCAGACGACGAAAGAGAGAAGUUGACUAUACCAUAAACAUGAUUAUCAGGACUGUUGAGAAGAGAAACAUAUAUAUAUAUGUAUAUUAAAGAGAGGCUUAAUGAUCAGACGACGAAAGAGAGAAGUUGACUAUACCAUAAACAUGAUUAUCAGGACUGUUGAGAAGAGAAACAUAUAUAUAUAUGUAUAUUAAAGAGAGGC